GGAGUAGUAAAGACAAACGUUCAAAUUGCUCUUCUUGAUGUAACCCCCAAGCUGUAGGCUGCUGUUAUUUUAAGAGAAAGUGCAGUGGGCUGUUGGACCACCUGGACAGCGAGGCGCGAGAGUUGGAAGUGUUUCCACCAUUACGUCAGAUACUCCUCUGCCGCAGAUUUGGAAGAUUUGCAAUAUUGUGGGUUGUAGAAGGUCCUUCCAAGAUAACUUCAGGAACAGUUGCAGAACAAUCGCUGGAAGUGUUAAAUGCUACAGAAAGUAGCAUAGUUGUCAGAAUUAGAGGGCCAAAAAUAUUGAUGGGAAAGUCGAACUUCAGCCCUGAGUUUGAAGGUGUUAAUUGCUUGACAUUCUGAAUUGGGUGGUAUGGAAGAUUACAAUGUCAUCAAAGCAUUGACUGGCUUCAGUGUGGUUGUUCUACUGUGCAAAUC